CCCUAAUGAGCAAUUGCUUAAGCUUUCCCCUCACAUUAAGGCUCAUUAUCUCAUUUGCACCACCAACUAACUCUUUCCCUAUAAAUAUUGAUGGCACACUUGGUUGACACCCUAGUUCCAUCAAUGCCUUCUCUAUUUUCUUCCCAUUUGGAUGUGUAUCGAGCUCGUAAACAGUAGGGUUUGCUCCAAAACUACGAAUUAGGGUUUCGAUACUGUGAGAAAUGCAACAAUUGCUCUCGGUGAAUAUCACCACCGGGCUUGUUGCUCCCAACUUCAUCACCAUAUCCAUGUUUAAAAAAAUUCAAGAAAUAUUGAGUAGUUUGGUCAAAAUGCCAAGAUAUGUAGAUAGCUUUAAUGAAGAGGAAAUUAAACAAGUUUGAAGGCUAACAAGGGGUUGUGAAGUGAAUUCGAGGCUUGAUUUGUUGUUGAGAAAGUUGGACCUUCCAUGAAGCUAUAUAUAGAGGCAUUAUGUUAUGGACCUCCCAUGAAAAUAUGCUAAAAAUUACAAGUUGAUGAUAUAAUAUAUCUAGAUUAAUGUUCUUGAUUACACUUGUAUGAUAACAAGAUCAGCAUAUUUUAAGCCUUAUCUUGAUUCUAAAGUAGCAUAACAUACUCAAGCUGAAAAUGUAAAGAAUAAAAUCUAUCACCUUUAAUAUAUUCCAAGAACAUAUGUCACUAGCUAAAGUUUAUCUUAAUAGAUCUUUGUUUUUUUCUAUUUCUUUUUUAGAUCUUCCCAUUUCAAUAUUGUUGUUUAGUUUUUUCAUAGAUUUUUACUUUUGCUUUGACAAAUAAGUAAGUGGACGAUCGAUAAUUGAGAUAUGUUUCGGCAAAUAUUUAAUAAUAUUUGCUGUAUGAAAUUAAUUAAAAAAAUUGAAAUAGUUUAGAUAUGUAAUUUUAACCCUUGCACUCAAUCUUUUUUCAGAAUAUAUCCUCAUGUAGAUGUCAAGUCCACAUUACAAUCCGUACCACACAGUAACUUUGGUUGAUACGUGACAAAUAAACUUUGUUAAAAUUCCACUUGCUAUAUUAAGUACAUAAUCUAGAAAGCGAACGUAGUAUCUGUUGUGCGGAAGCGUUUGAAAUUCAAGUUGAAUAUGAAAUAAAAAAUAAAAACACAAUAUUUAACGUGGUUCGGCAUUUGCCUACAUCCACGGGAGGUAGCAGAAUAUCACUAAUUUGGAGAAAUAUUACAAUACUCUCACUCAGGAAACUCACCAGAAAUAGAAGCUCUACAAGCUUAAAUCUACAAACUAGAAUUGUAGAAAGAGAUAUUAGAAUGUGAGGAUGAUUUUUACAAAUACCAACCCGGGGUAUUUAUAGUUGGAGAUUGGUAACUAUUCCAACUACCUAAUCCACCAAUUUUGACUUCCAAUGUGAAAGGGGAAGCCAACUUUGACACAACUCUGCAGCCAAGUUUGACACAACUCUGGCAGCCAAGUUUGACACAACUCUGGCAACCAAGUUUGACACAACUCUGGCAGCCAAGUUUGACACAACUCUGGAAGCCAAGUUUGACACAACUCUGGCAGCCAAGUUUGACACAACUCUGGAAGCCAACUCCAAAUCGUAAAUCUUGUAUAGUGAGCCAAUCUUGACUUCCAACAAUCUCCACCUUGGCGAGCUUUCUUUCAGAAUUCCAUGCUACCUCCAAUUUAUGCCCUUAGGCACCCGAGUUUUUAGAGAUGUUGAUCAAGUUCUUGAAGUGUUGGAACUUGAUCCCAGAAACAACUUUUGUAAGCAUAUCUAUAGGAUUUUCUGCAGUCUGGAUUUUCUGUAAUAGGAUAUUUCCUUCAUCUAUUAUCUCUCGAAUAAAAUAAAAACGAACAUCAAUAUGCUUCGUUCGUCCAUGGUGAACUUGGUUCUUUGCCAAACAAAUGACACUCUACUGUCACAAAAAUUUUAACAUUUUUUUGGACAAUUCCCAAGUCCUUGAUCAAUCCUUGAAGCCAAAUUGCUUCCUUGAAAGCCUCUAUUACUGCCACAUACUCUGCCUCUUAGUAGACAAAGCCACCGUUGACUGUAAUGUUGAUCUCCAACUUAUUGGUCCUCCUGCUAGUGUAAAUACAUAACCAGUAGUAGAUCUGCACUUAUCAAGGUCUCCAGCAUGGUCCGAAUCCACGUAUCCAACUAGCUGCUUACUCAUAUCAUCCCUCUGAAACUUCAAAUCGACAUCUACAAUACCAUGAAUGUACCCUAGAAUCCACUUCACUGCUUGUCAAUGGCCUUUACCGGGAUUAUGCAUGUAUCGACUUACCAUACUUACAACAUGUAAAAUUUCAGGUCUUGUACACACCAUCGCAUAUAUUAGGGCACCAACUGCAUUUGCAUAUGGAACACCUUUCAUCUGUUUCUUCUGAUCAUCUGUACUUGGUGACAAUAAUAAACUUAACUUGAAUUGCAAAGCCUAAGGUGUACUUAUAGGUUUGGUAUUGUCACUAAUGCCAAAAGUUUGAAGAACUUUCUUCAAAUACUGAGUUUGAGUCAAACAGAUUGUGCCUCUUGCCCUAUCUCGAGUGAUCUCCAUACCCAAGAUUUUCUUGGCCUCUCCAGGAUCUUUCAUCUCAAACUCUGAGCUCAGUUGAGCCUUCAGUUUGUCUAUCUCCACCUUGCUCUUAGACUCAAUUAACAUGUCAUCAACAUAUAAGAGCAAGUAGAUAAAUGUACCAUCUUGGAGCUUGCGAUAGUUGACACAAUGACCAAACUGAUUGCGGGUGUAUUUCUGCCCUUUGAUGAAGCUAUCAAACCGCUUAUACCACUGUCUUGGUGAUUGCUUCAGGCCAUACAAUGACUUGCUCAAUUUGCAAGCCCAGUUUUCUUUUCCUGGAACUCUGAAUCCUUCUGGCUGAGACAUGUAUAUCUCUUUGUCCAAGCUACCAUGCAAAAAAGCAGUUUUGACAUCGAGUUGUGCAAGCUCGAGGUCAAACUGUGCAACCAAAGCCAAUAAUAAUCAGAUAGAGGAAUGUUUAAUGACAGGAGAGAAUACCUCAUCGUAGUCAAUUCCUUCCAUCAGAGAAAAACCUUUUGCUACUAGUCUGGCUUUGUAUCUGAUGUUGUCUGUGUUGGAUGGAUCUUGUUUCUUUGCAAAGACCUAUUUACAACCAAUUGCUUUCUUGCGUUUUGGAAGUGGAACCAACUUCCAAGUCUGAUUCUGAUAGAGUGAUCUCAUCUCAUCAUCCAUGACCAUCUUCCACUUGUCACUUUCUAUACUCUGACUGACGUCUCUGUAAUUGUAUGGAAUAUCAUCUCCUGUGACUGGAAGUGCAAAUGCAACCAAGUUAGAAUAUUUUGUAGGUUUGCAGAUUGUCCAUCUUGGUCUACUCGUGGUGAUGGAUUCUGGUUACUGACUGAUUUCUGGUACUGAAGAUGGAACCUCCACCGCAUCUGAGAUCUUAUCAUCUUCCACUGAUUGCUCUUCAGGAUAAUUGGAUGUCUCCGUAGAAAUGAUGGGUCUCUCUAGCUCCACCUGCUGAUGUGAAUUGAAAUUUUGAUUUCCCUUUUCCAAGGUUAUUUGCUUGAGCAUCACAGAUUCGUCAAAGACAAUAUCGUGGCUUAGUACGAUUUUCUUUGACUCAGGUUCCCACAGACGAAAAACUUUAACUCGUUCACUAAAUCCAACGAAAAUACCUUUUUUGGAUCUAGGAUCUAGUUUAGAUUCUUUCACAUGGUAAUAUGCAGGACAACCAAAUAUAUGCAGAGAAUCAUAAUCAGAAAUGGGUUAUCCAGACCAUACCUCCUUGGGAAUUUUCCCAUCUAAUGCUUAUGUAGGGAGUCUGUUGAUAACAUAAGAGGCAUACGCUAUAGCUUCUCCCCAAAAUGUUUUACUCAAUCCAAAUUGAGAUAGCAUGCAACGAACUUUAUCCACCAAUGUGCGAUUCAUUCGUUCUGCAACACCAUUUUGUUGUGGUGUGCCUGGUACAGUGAAGUGUCUGACUACCCUAGUAUCCUGACAGAUUUUCUGAAAUGGAUCUCACUUGUACUCUCCUCUAUUAUCAGAUCUGAGCCUCUUGAUUUUUCUUCCUGUCUGGGUUUCUAUCAUCUUCUUCCAAUUGAGGAAGAUGUUCAAAGCCUCAUCUUUAUGCUUCAUGGUAUAAACCCAAACAUAUCGUGAAAAAUCAUCAAUAAACGUAACAAACCAAUAUUUACCUCCUAUUGUGGCAUUCUAAGAAGGCCCCCAAACAUCGGUAUGGAUGUAGUCUAGUGUUCCCUUGGUACGAUGGAUCGCAGUGCCACAUUUGACUCGAGUUUGCUUGACUAAGAUACAGUGCUUGCAGAAGUCAAUCUUUCCACUUUUGGCUCCUUUCAGCACACCUUGCUUUACUAAGGUUUGUAAAGCCUUUUCUCCAGCAUGCCCUAAGCGCAUAUGCCACAACCUGGAAACAUCAGAUGAUCCAUCAUUGGAACUGGUGCAGAUGGAUGCUUUUCUUGUAAUAGUGUGUCCAUCGAGGAAAUACAGAUUCCCCUUCUUCAUGCCCUUCAAGGCCAAAAGUGCUCCACGUACAACUUUUAGAAUUCCAUCUUCAAUGGUUACCUUGUAACCGUUGGAAUCAAAGACUCCAAGUGGGAUCAGUUUUCUUUUCAUGUUUGGAAUAUACCUGACAUCUGUGAGUUGUCUUAUUGUACCGUCAUGCAUCUUUAGGUGUACAGUUCCAAUGCCCUUUGUCUGGCAUGCAUUGUUGUUGCCCAUUAGCACAACACCUCCAUCAAGUUCCUCAAAGCUUGAGAACCAAUGCCUGUUUGGACACAUAUGAUAGGAACAUUCAAAGUCUAAAAUCCAUUUGUCAGAAUGGUUACCUGCAGAUGAAACUGAAAAUAUUGCAUCCUCCUUAUCUACAGCCUGUUAUGCUAGUGCCACAUUUGCAUUUGUUUUGUUCUUAUUUAGCCAAUCCUUCUUCUAGUGCCCCUUUUCGUGACAAUAGGCUUAUUCAUCUUUUGCAAGUUUUCUUUGUGAUGAAGCUCCUUUGUACUUGGAGCGGGACCUACCUUGGCCAUUGGUUCUAUUGUUUGUCCUACCUCUAGAUACUGUCAAAGCUUCUAGUGUUGUAUCGUUAUGAUCUUGGAGAUCCUUCCGUCGAUACUCAUUGUUCACCAAAGCAUUUGAAACGUCACUGAAUUUAAUCUCAUUUUUACCAUAGAGUAAAGUAGUGGUUAAAUGAUCAUAACUUUCAGGUAAAGAAUUUAACAACAGCAAUGCCAUAUCUUCAUCACUAAUUUCAACAUCAAGAUUCUGUAAAUCAGCCAGAAUUUUGUUGAAAUUAUCCAAAUGCUCAAUCAUUUGUAUACCUUUCUUGUAUUGAAAAUGAAAGAGCUUCUUCUUCAGAUAGAGUCGGUUCUCUAUACUUUUUGUCAUGUACUUGUCCUCCAGUUUCUUCCAGAGUUGUGCUGCCGAAGUCUCCUUCAUGACAAAGUACUUCUGUUCUUUUGCUAAACAGAGUCUGAUUGUCCCACAAGCUUGUCAAUUUACAAGGUUCCAAUCUUCUUCUGACAUAUCCUUAGGUUUGGCCUCCAAGGGGAUAUGUGAACUUUUUCGGAAUAAAAGAUCCUGGACUUCACAUUGCCACAUGCCAAAGUUGUUGGUGCAAUUGAAUUUCUCCACCUCAAACUUUGCAUUAGACAACAUGAUUCUUUGAAUGGAACUACUUGUAGAUGUUUCUUCCACCAUUUGAGUUCUGAUCUCGAAAAAUGGAGCCCACAGAUGUGUCCGAAAUGAUCCAAACAACUUGAAUUUUUGACUCAGAUUCAAGAACCGUAGCUCUGAUACCAAUUUGUUAUGCGGAAGCGUUUGAAAUUCAAGUUGAAUAUGAAAUCAAAAAUGAAGACACAAUAUUUAACGUGGUUCGGCAAUUUGCCUACAUCAAUGGGAGAUAGCAGAAUAUCACUAAUUUGGAGAAAUAUUACAAUACUCUCACUCAGGAACCUCACCAGAAACAGAAACUCUACAAGCUUGAAUCUACAAACUAGAAUUGUAGAAAGAGAUAUUAGAAUGUGAGGAUGAUUUUUACAAAUGCCAACCAUAGGUAUUUAUAGUUGGAGAUUGGUAACUAUUCCAACUACCUAANUAGGAACCUCACCAGAAACAGAAACUCUAUAAGCUUGAAUCUACAAACUAGAAUUGUAGAAAGAGAAAUUAGAAUGUGAGGAUGAUUUUUACAAAUACCAACCAUGGGUAUUUAUAGUUGGAGAUUGGUAACUAUUCCAACUACCUAAUCCACCAAUUUUGACUUCCAAUGUGAAAGGGGAAGCCAACUUUGACACAACUCUGGCAGCCAAGUUUGACACAACUCUGGCAGCCAAGUUUGACACAACUCUGGAAGCCAACUCCAAAUGGUAAAUCUUGCAUAAUGAGCCAAUCUUGACUUCCAAUAGUAUCAAUAUAUACUAUCAACAUAUCAUUUGUAUUUGUUUGUACGAUUGUUAAUAUUUGUCUUUGGAUAAUUAAUUAUUAUAAUUCGUAUUUGUAUUGAGAGAAGAGACACAAAAAGAGGCAAGAGAGGGAUAGGGGGUGGGGGAGUAGGGGAGAAGAGAGGCGAGGGGAGAGAAGCAAGAGAGAUUGCAAAGAGAGGGGAGGCAGGUGAGAGAGAGAGACAACAACAACAAAAUCCUAACUAUAAUUAUAAAUUAUAAUUCUUUCAAAUUAAUAUGAUGUAUUAUAAAUACAUAUUACAUGUUUGUCUAGUUGCAUAAUUUAUCCUACUAAGAAAAUUACUAUUUUUCCCAUUGAAAUUUUCCGAUGAAAAUAUUUAGUAGUACUCCUAUAGAUACUUUGAUUGAAUCAAUAAAAAAGAAAAUAAUAAUAAUGUUUUCAAUUUUCAUUGAAAUUUUUUGAAAGCUUCCCUUUUUUUUUUUCAAAAGGAAUAAGUUUUCUAUCUAUUUCUAAAAAAAUAUAUUUUAUAAUAUAAAUUUUCUAUCGAUUCACGAAAAGGAAGACUUAUUUCUAGUAGUGUACAAAUUGAUAUAUUCUCAUUAAAUAAAAAAAGAAAAAAAAGCUACUACUACCUUGAAAGGUUACAUACUAUUGUACUAGUCUAAAAACGUGUUAUUUUUCGUUCCUUUAUUAUUUUAAGAUGUUUCUUGAUCACCAUAUUUAAUAUGAGAAAAGUUUCUAACUUAUAAAAUUUUCUAAAUUUUAGUUUCUUUAAUUAUUAAAUUAAUAUUUAAUUUAUCUUUAAAAUUAAUUAAAUUAAUUUUUGAGAAACAAAACAUGAUAAAUAUUUUCGAACGAAAUGACAAGUAAUUAAGUUUGUCAAUUUGAUCGAUCCAGAUUAUAUCCAGUUCGACCCAUCCAUUACGACUCGCCCAAUAUGGUGAAAUAAAUGAACAGAAGAAAGAUGAGUAUUUUUUAUUUUGAACUUGUAGACUGAUUUAGAGUGUAUUAAAUUUUGAAAAGCACUCUUUUAUUUUGAGACGUAAUAUCAAUCUCAUAUUUUGGUACUCAUUAAUUUCUUUUAUAAAAUUGAUGGACCUUGCUCAAUCUAGGAAAAUAUAUGAAUAAGAUGUAUCCACACAUAAAUGUUAGAAUGAUUGAACACAAUAUACUAUAAGAUAUUAUUGAUACUUUAGAUCAAAAUGCAAUACAUAAAUUGCCUCUAGAUUUCUAAAAGAAAAGACUAUCUCUAGGACUCAAGUAUAUAACUUUUGUUUAUGCAUUAAAAAGCAAAAUGUGAGAAAAACAAAAAAGACUCUCUAUAAUAAGUGGUGUAAAUUUAUCAUCAUAACUCUUAUCAGACUAAUUGCUAUAUACAUAUAGCUAGUCAUUAUUAAUUAAUUAAUUAGUUAAUUUUUAUAUCCAAAUGGCAUUAGCCCUAAUGAGUAAUUGUUUUAGCGUUCCCCUCACAUUAAGGCUCAUUAUCUCAUUUGCACCACCAACUAACUCUUUCCCUAUAAAUAUUGCUGGUACACUUGGUUGACACCCUAGUUCCAUCAAUGCCUUCUCCAUUUGCUUCCCAUUUGGUUGUGUAUCGAGCUCGUAAAUCAUAGGGUUUGCUCCAAAACUACGAAUUAGGGUUUCGAUGCUGUGAGAAAUGCAACAAUUACUCUUGGUAAAUAUUACCACAGCGCUUGAUGCUCCCAACUUCAUCACCAUAUCCAUGUUUAAUUAAGCAACUUCAAGAAAUAAUAAGUAUUUGGCCAAAAUGCCAAGAUAUGUAAAUCGCUUUUAGUGAAGAGGAAAGAAGUUGUGAAGGCUACAAGAAUUUACCUUGUGAAUUGAAUUUGAGCUUGGUUUGAUGUUGAGAAAAUUGGACCUCCCAUGAAGCUAUAUAGAUAUAGGGGCAUUAUGUUAGGUAAAAGUGAAAAAAAAAAUGAAAAUUGGUAGAAGAAUAAAAAGUUGAUGGAUAUAUCUAGAUUGUUCUUGAUCACUUGUAUGAUAAAAGGCAUGCAUGAAAAUGAAUAGAAUGUGAUCAUCACCUUUUAAAUAUUCCAUUUGGAUUGUCACUAGGAUUUUGUUUUUCUCUUUCUCAUAUUUAGUCAUUGCUUUCUUGGUUUCGAUUGCAUUUUCACUUUAAUAUUUAAGUGUGUGAUUAUUUGUAACAAUCCAUUUUUAGUUAGAAGUCCUAUAUCAACAAAAAUACAGGAGUGAUGUUGGGUAUAUAAGUAAACAAGUCUUACCUACUAGUGACGUGUUUUAAAGUCGUGCUGGUCUAGGCCAAAACUAGAUAAUAUCACUAGUGGGCUGAGAUGUUACAGAUGGUAUCAGAGUCACUCAUGUGUCAGCCUUGUCGAUGUGGAGUAAAGUUCAACUGAGUUUAGGCAAAUCCUUGCGACUGGUGAGGCGGGGCAAACCUCAAUGCUGAGUCUAGAUGAAUCUCAUACAGUGGGACAACAUCGGGUAUAUAAGUAAACAUACCUUAUCUACUAGCGAAAUAUUUUAAAGCCGUGAAAGCCUCGAACCAAAGCGAACAAUAUCACUAGCCGACUGCACUGUUACAUUAUUUCACUAUUACGUUCAAUUGUUAGUGUUAGACAGAGAGCGUACAUUUUUAUUUACUUAACUAUAUCUUUCAAACGUCCUUCAAUUGAGGUCUUGCAUAUAUUUAUUAGACAUUAAUGAGAACUUUAAAUAUUUCAUUUUCGAAAUCAAUGUAUCUGCCAAAGGAAAAUAUAUAUAUGUAAUCCAGCUGGAGUGAUCUUUUUCAAUAGAAUAGUGCUUUUAAUUUGAGAAAAAAGAACAUGAAAUCUUUCAAGAAUAUAUUUCCUCAUAUAGACAUACUGUUGAAAUCAAGUCCACAUUAAUUAUACGAUAUGUACCAUAGUUAAUUUUUUUUAUUAAAAUUCCCUUUGGAAUAAAGUAGAUAUCAAGAAAGGGAAUGCAUAGUUGAUAGUACAAUUACUUAUCCAGAAAAUGCUUCUAUCCUUUACAACAUCGAAAGGCCACAUAUUAUAUCAUAGUAUCAAAAUCUAACGAUAGAGAGGUUGUUUCCAAAAGACCCUCGUAUCAAAAUAUAUCAUUUUCAAAAGCAUUAGAUGAAAUGAUCAGAGUGGAUGACAAAUAAAAAUCUAUGAAGACAAUAAAAGUACAAAAUAAAUGACUGAUAAUAACAACAUAAUAUAUAACGACACGAUUACCUCUACAAACCUACUAUAUCCUACCCCUACUAGUCUUCUAAUCUUCUACCCUAAUAUGCAACCUUCAUUCCUUUCCAUCUAAGAUCAUGUCCUCGGUGAUAUGAAACUGCAUCAUAUCCUGUCUAAUCACAUCCUCCCAAUUCUUUAUUAGUCUACCCCUACCCCUCCACGUAACCCCUAAAUUCAUUCCUUCGCAUCUUCUGAUAGGAGCAUCAACACUUCUUCUCUGCACAUGCCCAAACCAUGAUAGUCUCCGAUAGGAUCUUUGAAAUUAUAGUGACAUAAAGUUGAACUUAAAUUUAAGUGACGAGGAUUAUUAUUUUAUAUAUGAUGCAUGCAUGCUUGACAAGGACAAUUAUCUAUUGCAUUAUUAUUGGUUUAAUUACAAUGUCGAUUUCUAGCGUACGUAGAGCUAGCACAUUCUCAUAUUCUACUAUGUAUUAUAUGCCUAGAUCAAAUUGGAACACAUUCCCUUGCCAUAACAAAAAAAAAAAAAGGAUGUGACAAAUCUUCUUAUUGAUGGCUAGAAGAUUUUUAUUCAUAUGUCACCUCAAAAGUCAAAACUUUUAAUAGGUACAUAAGAAUAUUUGCAAUAUGUGCCAUAUGGUUUAACCAAAUCACUUUAUGUGUAGUAAUAACUUUAAUAUCAUUUAAUUGUUUAAUUUAAUUCAUGGUAGCUUUCAUGUGAAUUGUUCAUGUAUUAAUGUUUGCAUCAGUCAAGAUGCAUAUGCCUUCAACAAAUUUAUUACUUUCUUACUAAAUAAAUCGAACCACAACGAACCAAAUUGAUAAUAAUCAAAUUAAACCAACAAUUAUCUUUUUCGAUUUGAUUUUAAAAAUUUUAAAAAUCAAAUCGAUAACCGAUCUAAACUGAACCAUGAAUAUCUUUAUACAUAGUAUUGCCUCUUGAAAAUAAUGUAUCUUCAAAAGAAAAAAGAAAUCUAUAUUAUAUUCAGUUGGAUUGAGAUCUUUUUUAAUAGAAUCUUACUUUUAAUUUGAGGAAAAAAAGAAUUCUUUAUUGAAUAUAUUCUCAUUGACAUGUUGAAAUCAAGUCCACAUUAUAAGUUCCGUACCACAAAAGAGAAUAUAUCGUACAUGAAUUGCUCCAUUACUAAAUUCAAAGGUCACAUAUUACAGUCUACUCGCUCCGUGUUAAUUUAUUUAUUUAAUUUUGAUUAAACACAAAUUUUAUGGAAGUAGUUAUUUUUUUGAAUCUUGUCGAUUUAAGUUAAAGACAUACAAAAUAUAUCAAAAUGUCAUUAAAACGUUGCUAAAAUUAAAAAAAAGUAAGAUAAAUAAAGUAAGAUGGAAGGAGUAUCCUGUUUUUUAGUUUCUAAAAGCUAUAUAUAUAUAUAUAUAUAUAUGUAUAUAUAUAUGACUCCUUUUUUUUUUUGGGAUACAACAACAACAUAUCCACUGAAAUUUCACAAGUGGGUCUGAGGAAGGUAAAAUGUACGCAAAUCUUACCACUACCUCAUAGGGAUAGAUAAAUUGUUUCCGGAAGACCCUCGUUUCAAAAAUAUCAAGCCCCAAAAACAGAAGAUAUUAAAUAUGAAAAAAGAAAAUCGACUAAAGUGGAAAACCAAUGAUAAUAUAUAUAUAUAUAUAAAUACAAUCUUCAAAAGAUGUCUCGUACAAGAACAAGAAGAAAGGAAGGAAUUUCUAAUGUACAAUAUUCUUUUAUAUUGAUGAUCAUGACUAACUUAGUUGAAAUUUGAAAAUUUCUCUAGAAAUAUUCCAAACAGUACAUAGAUUACAUGAUCUUAUCAUCUAUUGAUUCUUUCUGAGGAAAAAAAGAAAGUGCUAAGAAGAAGAAAUAGUCCUUUGCUACCUUUGAAAGGCUAGUAUAAGAGCUUGUUUGGCCCCCAAAUAUUCUGAUACUCCUCCGUUUCAAUUUAUGUAACACAUUUUAACUAUCAACAUGAGCUGUGAUGCAAUGGUGGAACUACUUUACUCUAAAUUAGAUGUCUCAAGUUCAAGCCUUGGGUACGAAAAAAUUCUGUUGGCAGUGUCACCCCCAACUAAGCCCUACAAUGCACGAUCCAAAUUAGUCAAAGCUCCCACGUGGACUUCAGACACCGAAUGAAAAACCCACCCAAAGAAACAAAACACAUUUUGACUAAAGACAAAACUUUUUAAAUUAUAAAAGGGGCAAAGUUGAGGAAUGUUUCCCCUAAACUAAAUUACUGAACUAGAUUGUAUUUUUAAUUUAGGAAAAAAGGUACAAAAAAUGCAUGUUUCUCUAUUUUUGUCUAUUAUAUUAGUUAUCUCUAAUUUUACUAUAUAGUCAAAUAUACUCCUAUCAUUAUCGAAGUAUGCAAAAAUAGGAAUUUUGUUUUUAUAUUUUUAAUAACAACAAAGUCAUAUUUAUCUCUAUAUUAUAAAUAUAAAUAGAGACAAAUUUAAAUAAUAAAAAAUAAAUGGCGUUUUUUAAAAACUCUUUUGCUAUGUUUUUAUGAUUCUCGACAUGGACAUAUUAUAUAUAUGGGCAUUAAUUUAUUAUAUGUCUUUUGCAAAAUUGGAACACAUUCCCCUACCAUUACUAAAAAGAGAAAAUGUCAAAUCCUUAACAACUUUGGUGAGUAGGAAUAAUUGUCACAUGUGCCAUCAUCCAAAUUACUCUUGGUUCUAAAGUAUUUGUCAUGAUCUAAUUUUUAAAUAUUACAAUAUAAUAGUUUUAACUUUUUAAAAUAUUUUUAAUCAUAUUAACAUAAAAAAAUUAUAAUUUUUGAAAUAUUUAAAUUAUAAUUAAGGAAUUAAAAUAAUUUAAUAUAAUUUAUUUUAAAACAAUCCAAUUAUAUGCCUUUUUGGUUAAAGAAACAUAAAAUCUGGCUAGAUAAUGUUGACCAUUAAAGAAAAACAAAAUCUAGCUAGAAGUCAAAAAGUGAAGUAAGAUUGAAAAGGUCACAUAAAUUAUUCAAAAGGCUUUCUUGUUAUUUAAAUUUUAUAUCUCCACAAAUGUACUAGAUUAUAACCUUUGAAGAGUAUUAUUUAAAUGUACUAGAGAUCAUAUUUAUGAUUGGUAUAUAUGCAUGAUCAUCAUGUAAUGGACCUUGCUCAAUGUUCCCAAAAAAAAAAAAAAAAAAAAAAAAAAUAAAGAGCACAUAAUCAGUGUUAGGUUGAGAAUUUUUUCUAAAAUGGUUCGAAAUAUAAAAGUAUCAUAUAACCACACAUUGUAAUACAUAACAUUAUAUUAUUAUUUAUUUAUACAUUAAGAACCAAAUCCAAUAGGGAGAAAAACAACCAUCCUAGAGAAGCUAAAAGACUCUCUAUAUAUAAGUUUGAAAAUUUUUAUUAUGAGAACUCUAAAUACACUUAUUAAUAACCUAAUUAUAAUUAAUUUCUAUACCCAAAUGGCAUUAGCCCUAAUGAGUAAUUGUUUAAGCUUUCCCCUUACAUUAAGGCUCAUUAUCUCAUUAGCACCACCAACUAAUUCUUUCCCUAUAAAUAUUGCUGGCACACUUGGUUGACACCCUAGUUCCAUCAAUGCCUUCUCCAUUUGCUUUCCAUUGGGAGGUGUAUCGAGCUCGUAAACUGUAGGGUUUGCUCCAAAACUGCGGAUUAGGGUUUCGAUGCUGUGAGAAAUGCAACAGCUACUCUUGGUGAAAAUUACCACCGCGCUUGAUGCUCCCAACUUCAUCACCAUGUCCAUG
rnacentral:lncRNA from 1 species